rnacentral:rRNA from 1 species
UCGUACUUCCGGUAGGAAAGUGGUGCAUGGCCGUUUUUGGUUGGUGGAUCGAUCCGUCUGGUUAAUUCCGUUAACGAACGAGACCUCGGCACUCCGAAUAGCGCGGCGGACGUCGCGGCCUCCGGGCCGUCUUCCGCACGAGCUUCUUAGAGGGGACCGUCCCCCCGCCGGGGAAGGAGGUGCGAGGCAACGACAGGUCUGUGAUGCCCUUAGAUGUUCUGGGCCGCACGCGCAUUACACUGACGCGUCCAACGGGUGACUCCCGACCCGAAGGGGCCGGGGAAUCCGCAAGGCGCGUCGUGAUGGGGAUUGAACGUUGCAAUUGUUGUUCACGAACGAGGAAUUCCUAGUAGGCGCGGGUCAUCAACCCGCGCCGAUUACGUCCCUGCCCUUUGUACACACCGCCC